GGCGCUGUUUGUUUCAGAUUUUGAAAGCUC
rnacentral:piRNA from 1 species